UACGGAGGGGGCUAGCGUUAUUCGGAAUUACUGGGCGUAAAGGGCGCGUAGGCGGCCUUCUAAGUCGAACGUGAAAUCCCCGGGCUCAACCUAGGAACUGCGUCUGAUACUGGAUGGCUUGAAUCCGGGAGAGGGAUGCAGAAUUCCAGGUGUAGCGGUGAAAUGCGUAGAUAUCUGGAGGAAUACCGGUGGCGAAGGCGGCAUCCUGGACCGGCAUUGACGCUGAGGAGCGAAAGCCAGGGGAGCAAACGGG
rnacentral:rRNA from 1 species